rnacentral:rRNA from 1 species
GUCUGUGGCCAUACCACCCUGAAUGUGCCUGACCUUAUCUGAUCUCGGAAGCUUAGCAGGGUCAGGCCCCAUUAGUAUUUGGCUAGGAGAAACUAAACCUGAAUGGUUAUGAAAAUAUACAUGUAAAAGUCA